UACGUAGGGUGCAAGCGUUGUCCGGAAUUAUUGGGCGUAAAGAGCUCGUAGGCGGUUUGUCGCGUCGAAUGUGAAAACCCGGGGCUCAACCCCGGGCCUGCAUUCGAUACGGGCAGACUAGAGUUCGGUAGGGGAGUCUGGAAUUCCUGGUGUAGCGGUGAAAUGCGCAGAUAUCAGGAGGAACACCGGUGGCGAAGGCGCCACUCUGGGCCGGUACUGACGCUGAGGAGCGAAAGCGUGGGGAGCGAACAGG
rnacentral:rRNA from 1 species